rnacentral:rRNA from 1 species
UACGUAGGGACCAAGCGUUGUUCGGAUUUACUGGGCGUAAAGGGCGCGUAGGCGGCGCGACAAGUCACUUGUGAAAUCUCUGGGCUUAACUCAGAACGGCCAAGUGAAACUGUUGUGCUAGAGUGCAGAAGGGGCAAUCGGAAUUCUCGGUGUAGCGGUGAAAUGCGUAGAUAUCAGGAGGAACACCGAUUGCGAAGGCAGCUCGCUGGAACGUAACUGACGCUGAGACGCGAAAGCGUGGGGAGCAAACAGG